rnacentral:tRNA from 1 species
GCCGUGGUGGCGAAAUUGGCAGACGCGCUAGCUUCAGGAGCUAGUUCUCGUAAGGGAUUGGGAGUUCGAGUCUCCCCCACGGCA